rnacentral:rRNA from 1 species
AUUAAUAAAAUUGUUUAAUUAUUAAGUUUAUUUUAUAUCUUUAAAUUAAAUAAAUUUAUGUUUUUGUAGAAUGAAUUGAUAAAAUUAUUUUUACUAUAGUAAAUUAAUACUGUGAAGGAAAUCAAAAGAUGAUGUUAUAAUUAGGUAAAGGUAAUUUUAUUUAUUGUAUCUUGUGUAUCAGAGUGUAUUUAAAUGAAUUAUAUAUUUUGUUUAUCUCGAAUUUAAGAGAUUUAAUUUAGUGUUUUAGUUAUUGUUUCAUAAAUAUUAAUAAUGCUUUAUUGGUAAUGAAAUGUUUAUCGUUUUUAAGGAUAUCUAGUUUUUUAAUAAACGAAUUUAAUUCGGGAAAUAUUUAAUUAUUUUUUAUUUAAUUAUUAAAAUAUAAAAUAUUUCUAAUUUUAGAAGGGAAUAGCUUUUUAAAAAAAAAUUAUAAUAAGUUUAUAUUAUAUUAGGAUUACAUGAAUUUAGAAUUUGUUAUUAUUUGAAGGAUGUUAAAAUUUAAUUCUUGUUUAUUUUUAAUUUUUAAUUUUUAUUUAAUUUUUUUAUUAAAAUGUUAAGUGAAAUUUUGUAGUUUUGGAAAAAAUGAUUUAAUUAGUAAAAUGUUUAAUUUAUGUUAUUAUAGAUUAUUUAUGUAUGAAUAUAAAGAAUUAGGUAAAUAUUUUGCUCACCUGUUUAUUAAAAACAUGGUUUCUUGAUAUAUUUAAGAGAUCUAACCUGCCCACUGAAAAAUUUUGAAGGGCCGCGGUAUAUUGACUGUGCGAAGGUAGCAUAAUCAUUAGUCUUUUAAUUGAAGGCUUGUAUGAAUGGUUGGAUGAGGUAAAUUCUGUUUUAUGUUUAUUAAAUUGAAUUUAGAUUUUAAGUAAAAAGACUUAAAUGUUAUUAAGGGACGAGAAGACCCUAUAGAGUUUAAUAAAUGUAUAGGUUAUUUGGGUUAAUAAGUAAUUUAAGUUAUUGUAAAAUUUAUUUGAUUGGGGUGAUUAAAAGAUAAAUGAAACUCUUUUUAAGAUUUAAUAUAAUGAUUAGUUAUAUGAUCCAUUGAUAAUGAUUAGAAGAUUAAAUUACCUUAGGGAUAACAGCAUGAUUUUUUUUAAGAGUUCUUAUCGAAAGAGAAGAUUGUGACCUCGAUGUUGGAUUAAGAUUAGUUAUGGGUGUAGAUGUUCAUGAACUAGGUCUGUUCGACCUUUAAAAUCUUACAUGAUCUGAGUUUAAACCGGCGUGAGCCAGGUUGGUUUCUAUCUUUAAUAAUGUUAAAUAUCUUAGUACGAGAGGACCAGAUAUUUGAAAUAAUUUUAAUAAAAUUGAAUUUUAUUAAUUUG